UGGGGAAUAUUGCACAAUGGGCGCAAGCCUGAUGCAGCCAUGCCGCGUGUGUGAAGAAGGCCUUCGGGUUGUAAAGCACUUUCAGCGGGGAGGAAGGCGUUAAGGUUAAUAACCUUGGCGAUUGACGUUACCCGCAGAAGUAGCACCGGCUAACUCCGUGCCAGCAGCCGCGGUAAUACGGAGGGUGCAAGCGUUAAUCGGAAUUACUGGGCGUAAAGCGCACGCAGGCGGUUUGUUAAGUCAGAUGUGAAAUCCCCGGGCUCAACCUGGGAACUGCAUCUGAUACUGGCAAGCUUGAGUCUCGUAGAGGGGGGUAGAAUUCCAGGUGUAGCGGUGAAAUGCGUAGAGAUCUGGAGGAAUACCGGUGGCGAAGGCGGCCCCCUGGACGAAGACUGACGCUCAGGUGCGAAAGCGUGGGGAGCAAACAGG
rnacentral:rRNA from 1 species